AGAGUUUGAUCCUGGCUCAGGAUGAACGCUGGCGGCGUGCCUAACACAUGCAAGUCGAGCGAUUCUCUUCGGAGAAGAGCGGCGGACGGGUGAGUAACGCGUGGGUAACCUGCCCUGUACACACGGAUAACAUACCGAAAGGUAUGCUAAUACGAGAUAAUAUGCUUUUAUCGCAUGGUAGAAGUAUCAAAGUUUUUGCGGUACAGGAUGGACCCGCGUCUGAUUAGCUAGUUGGUAAGGUAACGGCUUACCAAGGCGACGAUCAGUAGCCGACCUGAGAGGGUGAUCGGCCACAUUGGAACUGAGACACGGUCCAAACUCCUACGGGAGGCAGCAGUGGGGAAUAUUGCACAAUGGGCGAAAGCCUGAUGCAGCAACGCCGCGUGAGCGAUGAAGGCCUUCGGGUCGUAAAGCUCUGUCCUCAAGGAAGAUAAUGACGGUACUUGAGGAGGAAGCCCCGGCUAACUACGUGCCAGCAGCCGCGGUAAUACGUAGGGGGCUAGCGUUAUCCGGAAUUACUGGGCGUAAAGGGUGCGUAGGUGGUUUCUUAAGUCAGAGGUGAAAGGCUACGGCUCAACCGUAGUAAGCCUUUGAAACUGGGAAACUUGAGUGCAGGAGAGGAGAGUGGAAUUCCUAGUGUAGCGGUGAAAUGCGUAGAUAUUAGGAGGAACACCAGUUGCGAAGGCGGCUCUCUGGACUGUAACUGACACUGAGGCACGAAAGCGUGGGGAGCAAACAGGAUUAGAUACCCUGGUAGUCCACGCCGUAAACGAUGAGUACUAGCUGUCGGAGGUUACCCCCUUCGGUGGCGCAGCUAACGCAUUAAGUACUCCGCCUGGGAAGUA
rnacentral:rRNA from 1 species